AUUGAACGCUGGCGGCAGGCCUAACACAUGCAAGUCGAACGGUAACAGGAAGAAGCUUGCUUCUUUGCUGACGAGUGGCGGACGGGUGAGUAAUGUCUGGGCAACUGCCUGAUGGAGGGGGAUAACUACUGGAAACGGUAGCUACUACCGCAUACCGUCGCAAGACCAAAGAGGGGGACCUUCGGGCCUCUUGCCAUCGGAUGUGCCCAGAUGGGAUUAGCUAGUAGGUGGGGUAACGGCUCACCUAGGCGACGAUCCCUAGCUGGUCUGAGAGGAUGACCAGCCACACUGGAACUGAGACACGGUCCAGACUCCUACGGGAGGCAGCAGUGGGGAAUAUUGCACAAUGGGCGCAAGCCUGAUGCAGCCAUGCCGCGUGUAUGAAGAAGGCCUUCGGGUUGUAAAGUACUUUCGGCGGGGAGGAAGGGAGUAAAGUUAAUACCUUUGCUCAUUGACGUUACCCGCAGAAGAAGCACCGGCUAACUCCGUG
rnacentral:rRNA from 1 species